rnacentral:lncRNA from 1 species
AAGGAUAGGCCAGACUGAGGAAGAAAGACAGAAACUGUGGGAAUGUUUCUGACUGCAGACAGACCUUGCUAGAAUAGCACGCUGGGGAUCUUCCACUAGAAGGUGGUGACAAACACUCCCUUCUCGGAAUGACCCAACAAAACAAGCUUUACAAGAAAGCCCCGACCAGCAAGGACGGGCCCCAGAGGGUUGGAUCAAUCUUGCUUGUUGCAUUGAUCUCCAUCUCUGUUUCUGUGAGUGGGACAUACUGGAAGUAAGGCUCUUCGGGUCUUGCAACACAAGGGAGGAGAGAAAGAGUUUGCCAGGCUUCUGAUGGAGAAAAGUUGACUAGCCACAAUGUACAGCUUUGGUAAGAUUCAUCCUCAGAGAUGCGGAACUGACCUGCUUAGACCCCUGCUUCCAACUGCCUAAAACAGCUUCGGGACUGUCAUGGAUUCCAGGUCAUCUUGCCUUGUUCAACCUUUCAGAUGGAUCUAGUCAGACUUCAGUCAAGCUCUGAGCCUUCUAAGCAUACAGCAACUAGACAACAGAUGCUAAAGCUAGAUUUCUUAAAUCUAACCAAAUUUUCUAAUUUUCCUAGCCCUCCUACCCUUUUAAAAAACAUUUUUUCAUUGCCCCUGUUCAGCAAGAAAUUGUUGUGCAGAAUCAUCAGUCCAAUUCCCUGGGUGUGGGAGUCUGGUGAUGGUUAUUUUACAAAUUAUAGAAAAGUUAUCAUUUCUAAGGGAUAAUUUGGGAAUGGUCAUAUGUGGAGGGCUCUUGGUGCUGCUUAUAGAAAUGUGUCAAGCACUUGUCACUGGGAUCAAAGAAGUAGGCUCAGAUAAGAAUAUUCACAUUUGGGCUAAUACAAAGCUCAAGGUAAACCCAGGAGACGAAUGUGUGGCAUUCCUUUUAUCUUGGUCAUCCUGACAAGUCCCUAGAAACAGUGACCAGGGGGCUUAGUUUAUUGCCUUGUUUGAUCUCUUUGUUCAUUACUUUAUUUAAUUACUUUGUCUUUAAGAACCAAACCUAUUCUCUGCAAGUACCUAGAAUGGUAUAGAAGCUGACUGGGAAAUAAGCCUGCUUCAGCCUCAGCACUGGCUGUAGUCAUGUUAUAAUGUUGUCUAAUUGUCUUUCUUCUCAAUCCUAACUAAGAUGGGGGUGGGGGUCAUGAUAAUUUCUUGAUAGUACAGAAGAUAGCAGUCUCAUCAACCUUUCAUAUUAUAUAAUCAAGGGGUAGAGGAGAAGCCAGUAAAAAUUAUGUAAAAUUUUGUAUACAUGUUUUAAUAAAUUAUUAAGGCCUAUCUCUUC